UAUGGAAAGUCUAUCAUUAGGGCGUUCCGUUAGCAUCUUCUUUUGAGAGUGCAGAUUGUUUUGCUGACGAACCAUUUGCGCCUGUCAAUGGAACUUUCAGGUGAUGAAGCAGACUUUGACCAAGCUCUUUUCAAGUUUUAUGUGAACCAAGCUCAUUAUUUCUCUUUUUUGCUUGUUGUUCUUGAGGAUGCUACUGUAGCCACUAAAAAUCCAACCAAUUUUGAGUAGAAAUUCAUAUAUGCCUGGGCUUCUUCUUUUGUUUUGAACUACAUGCCUAACUGUGGCUUAAAAUUGCUGCUGGUGUUCAUAAGAUUGCCUUCUGAUGCAGUCUCUUGUUCAUUUUGCAGGAACCUCUCAAUGUCUUCUUCAUCGAGGUAUUCAUUGUCUGCGUCUUGUUCAUGGUCGGUAUCUUCAGGGACCUGCAAAAUUAUUCUUUUUGUGUCCAUUUUAAUUUUC